rnacentral:lncRNA from 1 species
GAACACCCACCCGUGCGUUGCACGGCAAGUGCUGCAUGUUGAGUGUUAUUUUUUAAUAAUAUUUUAAAUAAAUAAAUAUGAAAAUAAGACAUGAUAUUCAUAUAAAUUAAAUUUAAUUAUAAUUAAAUGCAAAACAAUAGCACACAUAUUGUCAUACAUUUUGAAAAACUUCCCUAUACACAACAUUUAUAGUAGUAGUAUCAUCAUUUCUACCAUCUUCAUAAAGCAAUAUUUGUAGAUCUACCAUCAUUUGCAAGCCAUUUUCUAUGCAAGUUUGAUGAAAUAUUCAUAGCAGGAGUCAAUUACUUCAUUAUCUAUGGAAGACUGUAAACAGAUAAGUAAAACUACUAAUGCUUUAAUUCAUUAUAUGCAAUUUAUUUUUUUGCUUAUGAAUUUUAUCAUUUAUGUAUCAGGAAUCAUUCAAGAUACUCGUACAAACCAACGAAUUCACGGG